AGAAACCGAGGCUGAAGAAGCUGGAACUCAUCAGGAUCUGCAUUAUUGAUGUCUGGAAAUGAAUAACGCCAUCUCCAGGAUCGAGAGAAGAGGAACUUGCAAAAUAGUGAAUGGCUUGAAUCCUGGUGACAGUUGGCAUUAAAAGCUACUGAACUGAAGCUGCUGGAAACUCGUAACUGUAACUCUACCUCGUUUGUCUUUUACUGAAAAAAAAAAAAACCAACUUGAGAAGUACUUGGAUGGGCUUCUGCAUGAGUCCACUAAGGUGAGAAGAGACUGCUAGGUCACCUGCAGCUGGGGCCACAGUUAUGAGCAACCUGACAUGGCACUGAGCCUGGAACUCACUCAGGUCCUCUGGAAGAGCCUUUGACCAUGGAGCCACCUCAACCCCAGGAGCACCGUGUGCUUUGGACUGACCAAGGAAAGCAUCAGGAAGAAACCAGGGCUUGAGAAGGAAGGAAGAAAUGGGGUGAGCUGCUGGUGCUGCUGCCACCACUUGGGCCACACAAGGACAAUCUGGAGGAAGUAUGCUCUAACUUGGACUAUGGCC